rnacentral:lncRNA from 1 species
CUCUCUCUGCUCUCUCUGUCUCUCUCUCUCUCUCUCUCUCAUGGUUACUUUGACUAGUAUUUUUUUUGAUCAUCAUCUUAUCACUACUAGAAACUUGACCUACAGUGAUGGAAUUUGCGACAGAUUCUAUCUGUAGCUAAUUAGUGACAAUUUACUGAGGGAUCAGCGACGAUACCAACAAAUAUUUCGAUCAAAAUAAAUAUAGUAUUUUAGUAAGGUAUUACUGAGGGAUCAACGAUGGAUUGUCAAGAUUUUAUCGAUAAAAAACCGUCCCUCGCUAGACCGUCGUGAAGUAAAACCUCCUAGUGAGGGAACAACGACCGAUUGCAAAAAUUAGAGGCCUUUUUUUCUUAACCCUCGCCAAACCCUCGCAGAAUAUCUACGACUCCUUUUUUUCAUCCCCCACUUUUCUUUCUUUUCUUGUUCCCUCUUUUUAUUCUCAUUCCCUCUAAAUUCUUCACAAAGCGAACAAUUUCCUCCCAAAGCCUUAAAUGACCGUCAAGUCUCUCCUCCGCCCCGGAAAUCGCCUCCACCAUAGUCAACCCUCAUCGCUCAUCUUUGAAGCCUUUGAAAGGAAAGCCUAAUCAAAAAUCACAUCCUCGUUGGCUUUCCUCUCGGUCCGUCUCCCUUUCUUGUUGACUCGCCACUUAAUUCCCAGUUAACGCCUUUCGAUCUAUUGGUUCAUCAUAUACUGUUGAUUUAGAUCGUACAACUGCACAUCAGCAACAACGACGUCGAUCACCAGCAGUGUCGAUCACCUGAUAGGGUAGCGGCGGCGGUUCUGUUGGUGAUCCUAAUCCUAGCCAAUUUCCCAAAUCACCUGUAAAUUUUAGAAAAACUUGAGUUUUGAAUUAAGUUUGGUAAUUGUGUUGAAUUUAAUUUUAGAUUUAUGGAUUGUUGAAUCUGGUAUGGACUUUGGCAAAUUUCCGUUGAUUUACUCUGGUUCUUUGCAUUCGAUUGCAAGUAAAUCAACUUACUACAGGCGAAGAUUAAAACUACAUCUUCAGAAAAUUAGGCUACACAGGAUGACAAAUAGAAAAUCAUUACCAACUCUAAGCUUUUACAGGCUCCAUUUUUCUUUAUUUUCACACUUUCCUUCCUUGGGGUUGAGAAAUUUCUGAGAUUUUUUUGUUUGUAUAGAAUAAACUUUAGAUUGACUCAUAACUAACUAGUCUCCAUUGAAAUUUUUUGCUUCAAUUCUCAUUUUUUGGUGGAAUUUUUGUAAUUACUAAAAUACAUUAUUUUUAGUUUCAAAGUAAGGGAAGAGUAAUAUUUCCAUUUAUUCAUCAAAAGAAACGUCCCUUUUGAACCAAGAAUGGAUUUUCCUUGAUACCUACUGAAAUUGCCAUAUGCACGGGCGAAGAAAAGCCUAUAUCUGGGUCUGCGUCAACAAGUUAUGAUUCCUUUACUGAAGAAUUCAAGCUCUUCAACAUGGGUUUAGUUCAUACAUUAUGAAAGCUUUCCUAUUCAAGACCUACUACCAAUUCCUUUGAAGCUACUACCACUACCGAAGCUNCAGGGACAACUGCCAGCAAUUGAAAGAAAGUUGCGAACAGACCCUGCCUUCUAGCAUUCAUGCCUCAUCUUUCAGAGAACAAUGUAUGUUGGCGGUUCUAUUGAUGACUAUCUUAUGAAGGUAUACAUUCCUUUAUCCUAAUGAAGGUAAAUUUACUUUCUUUUAGUCAUGUCUUCCAUCUAAUUUCACAAGAAACAAAAUAAUAAAUUUUCCAUAAUAAAUAAAAUAAAAUAAAUAAAAUUGUAAACUUACAGUUGGCAACCAUGGGAGGUGGUUGAAAAGAUCCCAAUGAUCCAACCCCAUAAUCAACAACCUGCCUUUGUUCUUCUAAUUCUUUUUGCACCAAUUUUCCAUAACCCCCCCUAUGUUUGACCAGUUAAGGAAACCUUAACCAAAAUUCCAUCUACUUAUAUUUUCACUUAAUGGGUUAAAUAUAAGGGUGAUAUGGUAAUUUAGUCUCUCAUCCAGACCCUUAUUCAGUCUAAGACUAAAUAAACCGUCUGAAUUAGACCAAGCGACCAUUUUACCCUUACAUUCCAAAAAACAAACUUCAUAUCAAUCUUAACAAAUUUUAACAUGAGAGGAGAAGGGAAAAUAGGUAUAGUUAACUCAUUUAGUAAAAAAAGAAAAGGAUAUCAGGAUCACAAUUUGUAAGAUAUUAUUUACAAGGAAUGCCACUCAUUCUCCUGAAAGCCCUCAGAAGUUGAGAAGGGCAAUUUAGACAAUUUGAAACAUGAAGUUGUUAGGAAAUGUGAUUUCCACAAAAAGUUUUUAAGGGUUCUCCCAUUUACCAGAAUUUCCAGAUUGUAUCUACACAGAAAUUUAGUGAUGCAUGGAAGGUGAUUCUCAGUUUUAUUUAUGACACAAUUUUAUAUCAUUCUGACAUAAAUUUAUUUUUGGUUUCUAGUUUUUUAGAGCACUUCCAGAACUUGGUUUGAAAGGAAAGACUUGUGUAUUGGUAUUAUUUUCUCCAUAUUUAUAAGUUUGUUUUUACUUUUUAGAGCCUUUUCAGGGGGAAAUUAUUAACUAAAGGGGUGUUUGGCUUGUCUUUUGAGAGGCAAAAGUCCUUUUUGGAAAAGUUACAAAAAGUCAGGUUUUCCUAACUUUUCCAAAAAGUCAGUUUUCCUUCUAUCUAAAAUCCAAAAGGAGCUUCUAAAAUGUUUCUACCAAACAUCUUUUACAUUUUAUCUUUUCCAAAAAGGACUUUUAUCCAUAAAAAAGACAAGCCAAACACCCUCUAAAUAGUUAAUAAUUUACAUGUACCGUGCACACGCUAGUAGGACUAGGAAGGGUAAAAUAGUCCAACAAAAGACUUUAGCUUUAUAUUGCAUUCUUUUUUCUUUUAAACCAAAACCUCUUAAUUUGUGUCCGUAUUCCAUAUCACAUGAAAAAUUAGUUUUAUUCUUAAUAAGCAACCCUCGGUCUUUCCUGUUGAAUGUCCUUGAAGUCAUUCUAACUAAUACUUUGCAAAAUACAACUAUACCCUUGUUUAUAAUUACAUGACUAAAUUCAUGUUCAAAGGCUAGCUCUUUGGUUUGUUCACGUGAUUGUCAUCCUGAUGCUAUUCUCCAUCAAGUACAAUUCAACAAGGCUAACAAAAUUGCAUAUUAUUCUGAAUUGCAUAAGUAUCAUACUAAGUAUGUCUGUUAUGUUCAUUCUCAUUCAAUAUAUAUUUUAUUUUUUACCACUCUUAUCUUGUUGAUAAUAACUUUUUUUGGGCAAAAUGAUAGGAAAUCUAAAAUUAUGGAAAGAAAGAUGGGAAGCUUUGUGAAUCCUGAAAACGAGUUUACAGAAAAGAUACUAAGGUAAAUUGUUCUUUUUAUUACUUUUACUUUCAUAUUUGUCAGCAUUUGCUUUCCAGAAUUUGAUUUCUAGAGUUCUUGGGUGGUACCUAUAAUUGUAUUGAUAAGGUUGGUUGCAUGCGAUCAAAAAAGGACCAAUAGCACUAGAGACCAUGAAGGUUAGUUCUGUAAUUUUCUUCCUAAUUAAAAUUUAUGCAUCCAUUUUUAUAGAUGCUUAUAGUGCUAUUAGUUUUGGUGUGGUAGAUGGCACAUAAUGGUCAAUACAAAUGUUGAAAGAUCAAACCCCAAAAGAGAAAUUUCUAAAGACCAAUAUGCAAACACGAUAUUUUCUUUCACCAACAUGUUUUUUCAUAUAUUUAUUGGUCAGAAUCAGAAUUCAAUUGCAUUCUAGUCCUGCAUUUAGUUUAGUUUCAAAUGAGUUAUGAGUAGACAAUAAUGUCCUUCAUCAAUAGAAAAAACAUACUUCCAACAAACACCAUGUCUCCUUCCAUUGCAGGAAAAAGUAAGUCGAACUUUGUUCGCCUAAUUCCAUGGGAUUUACCAGGAAUAGGAAUCGGAAUCCAAUUCCAUUAUGAUUCUUCUUUCGGAUGCAAGAUAUGAAGCAAUGGAGAAGAUGUAUGUGGAAAUGCAAAAUAUGAAAAGAAAUUGAGAUUUUUGUAAAUUAUACUUGGAAAUAAAAUAUCAAUCAAUAUUAAACUUUGAUAUUUGAUGAUUUUGAUCGUUUUGGUAAACAUUGAUAUUUGAUGUUUUUGGAUGUUUUGUUAAAAUUUGAUAGUUGAUUUUGGUAUUUUAAUGUUAGUGUUUGGUUUUGAGUUGUAUAAUUAUUUGAUGUUUUUGGUAUUUUAUUAUUGUUUAGUUUGAGAUUGUAUAAUUAUUUGAUGUUUUUAGUAUUUUUUUGUUUUAGAUUUGUAAUAAAAAAAUGUAUAUUAUAUAUUUGCUAGGGAUCAGCGGAAACAAAAAAAAUCACAUCUAAAAUUUGCUAGGGAUCAACGACGGAGUAUAAAAGGACAGAUAUAGAGGUUUGCAAGGGAUUAGCGACCGAAUAUAAAAAGACAAAAAUAGAGUUUUGCAAGGAUUAGCGACCGAAUAUAAAAAGACAAAAAUAGAGUUUUGCAAGGAUUAGCGACCGAAUAUAAAAAGACAAAAAUAGAGUUUUGCAAGGAUUAGCGACCGAAUAUAAAAAGACAAAAAUAGAGUUUUGCAAGGGAUUAGCGACGGAAUAUUUAUUUAGUUUUGUUGUUGAUGUCCUAAAAUAACGGUAUUAAGGGAGCAAUGUGUGAUGGAUAUUCGGUUGCUAAAGUUGUCGCAAGGAAAAUCAAAUCCGUUGCUAAAUCUCUCACUAAGGCAUUAACCACAUUUUAUUUGGCUAUGGAGUAAGUCUCUCACAGAUCCGUCGCAAAAGAUCUUUAGUGACGGAAUGGAGACUGGCUCAUCUGUGGCUAAAACCCAUGUUUCUAGUAGUAUAUGAACCCAAAUCACUUAAUUUUCAGUUUGAUUCAUGUGCAUUUCUCCAAAAGUUUGUUAUGGUAAUCGUCUUUUUCAAAUAAUUACAUUCGAUUUGAGAUUUUAGGGAUAAAGAUAACGGUCAUGGUUUCUUCCAAGAAGAGACCAGAACACACAUUACAUUGAAGACAUGAAAAAGGAACCAAAGUAAAGCUUAUAAACAGGAAGAUUAUUCUGACGAAUGGUGCUUCGUCUGCAAAGAUGUUGAAGAUUUAAUUGCUUGUGACCACAAAUGAGUUUCCGAAAACUAUUUCAAAUAGGUUUGUCACACAUUUGGUCCAAGAAAGUGAAAGGAUUUGACAAGUUUUCAUACGUUUACAAUAACAUUCAUGACAAAAUCAUCAGAUCCUAAAGUCCUUAACCAAGAGAAAUACGAUAAUGCCAAGAGAAACAUGUGACCUGACUUAACCAUGUUUAGAAACAAAUGAACUGACCUUAAUUAGUUUGACCGGAAUUGAGCGGUUUCUUAGAACAAGAGAUAAGUGGCAAAGAGCUAAGGCGGAGUCAUGACGGCGGCAGCGGCCUGAAUCCUCGGAUUUUAACGACCCUUCUUGAGUUAAUAGCAACGAUAAAUGGAGGAGGAAUUGUUUCUAAAAGGAAACCAGGUUAAUGAUCUUCAAAUGGUGAGAAAC